CUGCCAUGGAAUUGGUCAAUCCUACAUGGAAAGACGAUAUUUAUAUGUGGCGUCGUAUAGUACCAACAUGGGUUCCAAGAACAUUAAACUGGGAUUUAUCUGGCUUUCUUGUUAUCAACUUUAUGCACGAUUGGAAUGGUAUAAGGUUACCCUGCAUUUGCACUAAUGGGAAUGACCUGAGGACCAAAUUCUUAGUAGAAUUAUUGAAGUACAAGGACAAUGAAUCCAAAGACAACAUUCCAGAAGAAAUACAAGAAAUUAUUAGGCACAUCAGAUAGAUAUGAUUUUAUUUGUAAUGAUACUCAACUUAUUAUCCUAAUUAAUUUUAUUGCCUUUUAGGUUCGUAGUAUCGUUAGGAACAUUUGCCAACAUAUAUUUUAGUUAUAUGUUGCAAAUAUGAAGGCAGUUCAGAUUUCUGUAC